AUGGCGGCGGCGCCGCCCAAGGCCUGGAAGGCGGAGUACGCCAAGUCUGGGCGGUCCUCGUGCAAGUCCUGCAAGUCCCCCAUUGCCAAGGACGCGCUCCGCCUCGGCAAGAUGGUGCAGGCCACCCAGUUCGACGGCUUCAUGCCCAUGUGGAACCAUGCCAAAUGCAUCCUCAACAAGAAAAACCAGAUAAAAUCUGUUGAUGAUGUUGAAGGAAUAGAUGCACUUAGGUGGGAUGACCAAGAGAAGAUAAGAAACUAUGCUGCAAAUUCCUCGACUACUUCAACUGCAACUGCAACUGCAAGUUCCACAGCUCCUAUUUCUGACAAAUGUGCUAUUGAGGUUGCUCAAUCUGCCCGUGCUUCCUGUAGACGGUGCAGUGAAAAGAUUGCAAAAGGCACUGUUCGUGUUUCAUCUAAACUUGAUGGUCAAGGUUGGUAUCAUGUUAGUUGUUUCUUGGAAAUGUCCCCAACUGCAAGUGUUGAGAAAUUCCCAGGCUGGGAGACCUUGUCGCACGAUGAUAGAGGAGCUAUUAUUGAUGUUGUUAAGAAAGGUGCUGCCAGCAAACAAGAAACAUCUUCGAAGGGCUCCAAGCGCAAGAUUGGUGACAUUGAUAUGCGUAACUCCAAAGCUCCGAACUUAGAUGGAAGUACAUCUGAAGGUGCUGCACGAAGCAAAGGAAAACUUGUUGUACCAUGUGAGCCCAAUUCUAGUUCUGCUGAUCUGCACCAAAAGCUUAAAGAGCAGAGUGACACGCUUUGGAAGUUGAAGGAUGAACUCAAAAAGCAUGUUUCAACUGCUGAGCUGAGGGAUAUGCUUGAAGUUAAUGAGCAAGAUCCAUCUGGACCAGAGCGGGAUCUAUUGGAACGGUGUGCUGAUGGGAUGCUGUUUGGAGCGUUGGGCACUUGCCCAGUCUGUAAUAGCUGCCUAUACUAUUAUGGUGGUCACUAUCAGUGCAAUGGCCAUGUUUCAGAGUGGUCCAAAUGUACCUACAUGACAACAGAACCUGUACGCAUGAAGAAAAAAUGGAAAAUUCCUGAUGAAAUAAAGAAUGAUUAUCUUACAAAGUGGUUCAAGUCUCAAAAGGUUAAAAAACCAGAGCGAGUUCUUCCCCCAAUUUCACCUCAGAAGUCUGUAGGUCAAUCACCUCAGCAGUCUCUCGUCGGUGAAGCAUUGGAUAAGUUGAGAGUUUGUAUAGUAGGACAAUCUAAAGAUGUAGCUGAUGAGUGGAAGCAGAAGCUUAAACUUGCUGGUGCCCACUUCAGUCCCAGGGUUACCAAAGAUAUUAAUUGUGUAGUUUCAUGUGGCGGGCUUGAUAACGAGAGUGCUGAAGUCAGGAAAGCUAGGAGGCAGAAGAUACCAAUCGUCAGAGAAGAUUACCUUGGAGAAUGCAUUAGAAAAAACAGGGUGCUUCCAUUUGAUUUAUACAAAGUAGCGACUAUGUUGGAGGAGUCAUCAAAAGGUAGCACGGUCACUGUUAAAGUUAAGGGCCGAAGUGCUGUUCAUGAGGCUUCCGGUCUGCAAGAUACGGGCCAUAUUCUGGAAAAUGGCAAAAGCAUUUACAAUACAACCUUAAACAUUUCUGACAUGACACAAGGUGUUAACAGCUACUAUAUACUUCAGAUCAUCGAAGAGGAUGAUGGGAGUGAAUGCUAUGUAUUUCGAAAGUGGGGACGAGUUGGCAGUGAAAAGAUUGGUGGAAAGAAACUGGAGGAGAUGUCAAAAACUGACGCAAUACGUGAAUUUAAAAGAUUAUUUCUGGAAAAGACUGGAAACCCCUGGGAAGCAUGGGAACAAAAAACAAAUUUUCAGAAGCAGCCUGGGAGAUUUUAUCCACUUGACAUUGAUUACGGAGUAAGGGAAGCACCAAAACGGAAAGACAUGAGCAAAAUGAAAAGUUCACUUGCACCUCAGGUGCUGGAACUCAUGAUGAUGCUUUUCAAUGUUGAAACAUAUAGGGCUGCUAUGAUGGAAUUUGAAAUCAAUAUGGCAGAAAUGCCCCUUGGGAAAUUAAGCAAGGAAAAUAUCCAGAAAGGAUUUGAAGCAUUAACUGAGAUACAGAAUCUACUGGAUGACACUGGCAAUCAAGAACUAGCUCUUAGAGAGAGCUUGAUUGUUGCUGCAAGCAAUCGUUUCUUCACUCUUAUUCCUUCUGUUCAUCCACAUAUUAUACGUGAUAAGGAUGACUUGACAAUGAAAGCGAAAAUGCUUGAAGCUCUUCAGGAUAUUGAAAUUGCUUCUAAACUAGUUGGUUUUGAUGGUGACAAUGAUGAAUCUCUUGAUGAUAAGUACAAAAAACUUCAUUGUGACAUCACCCCGCUAGCUCAUGAUAGUGAAGAUUACAAGCUGGUCGAGAAAUAUCUUCUCAACACACAUGCUCCGACUCACAAGGACUGGUCAUUGGAAUUAGAGGAAGUUUAUGUGCUUGAUCGAGAUGGGGAAGGCAGCAAGUACUCAAGAUAUAAAAAUAAUCUCCAUAACAAGAUGCUAUUAUGGCAUGGUUCAAGGCUGACAAAUUUUAUUGGAAUUCUUAGUCAAGGACUAAGGAUAGCACCUCCUGAGGCUCCUGUGACAGGCUAUAUGUUUGGCAAAGGCCUCUACUUUGCAGAUUUAGUAAGCAAGAGUGCACAGUAUUGUUAUGUGGAUAGAAAAAAUCCGACUGGCUUGAUGCUUCUUUCUGAGGUUGCUCUAGGAGACAUGCAUGAACUGAAAAAGGCCACGCCAAUGGACAAACCUCCAAGAGGAAAGCAUUCGACCAAGGGCUUAGGAAAAACUGUGCCGCUAGAGUCGGAGUUUGUGAAAUGGAGGGAUGAUAUCGUCGUGCCUUGUGGCAAGCCAGUGCCAGCAUCUAUCAGGGCAUCUGAGCUUCUGUACAACGAGUAUAUAGUCUACAACACAGCCCAGGUGAAGAUGCAGUUCUUGUUGAAGGUCAGAUUCCGUCACAAGCGUUGA
rnacentral:rRNA from 1 species